AGAGUUUGAUCAUGGCUCAGGAUGAACGCUGGCGGCGUGCCUAACACAUGCAAGUCGAACGAAGCGCAUUUACUGAUUUCCUCCGGGAAUGACGUAGCUGUGACUGAGUGGCGGACGGGUGAGUAACGCGUGGAUAACCUGCCCUGCACAGGGGGAUAACAGCCAGAAAUGGCUGCUAAUACCGCAUAAGCGCACGAAACCGCAUGGGUUUCGCGUGAAAAGCUGAGGCGGUGCGGGAUGGGUCCGCGUCUGAUUAGCCAGUUGGCGGGGUAACAGCCCACCAAAGCGACGAUCAGUAGCCGGCCUGAGAGGGCGACCGGGCACAUUGGGACUGAGACACGGCCCAGACUCCUACGGGAGGCAGCAGUGGGGAAUAUUGCACAAUGGGGGAAACCCUGAUGCAGCGACGCCGCGUGAGCGAAGAAGUAUUUCGGUAUGUAAAGCUCUAUCAGCAGGGGAGAAGAUGACGGUACCUGACUAAGAAGCUCCGGCUAAAUACGUGCCAGCAGCCGCGGUAAUACGUAUGGGAGCAAGCGUUAUCCGGAUUUACUGGGUGUAAAGGGAGCGUAAGGCGGCAUGGCAAGUCUGAUGUGAAAAUCCCGGGCUCACCCCGGGUCUGCAUUGGAAACUGCAGGCUGGAGUGUCGGAGGGGUAAGCGGAAUUCCUAGUGUAGCGGUGGAAUGCGUAGAUAUUAGGAGGAACACCAGCGGCGAGGCGCUUACUGGACGACAACUGACGCUGAGCUCGAAAGCGUGGGGGAGCAAACAGAUAGAUACCCUGGUAGUCACGCGUAACGAUGA
rnacentral:rRNA from 1 species